rnacentral:rRNA from 1 species
GUUGUAUAGUCAAGUAAUUAAGUGCAUGUGGUGGAUGCCUUGGCAGUCAGAGGCGAUGAAAGACGUGAUAGCCUGCGAAAAGCUCCGGGGAGGCGGCAAAUAUCCUUUGAUCCGGAGAUGUCUGAAUGGGGAACCCACCUACUUUAAGGUAGGUAUUGCAACAUGAAUACAUAGUGUUGCAAGGCGAACGAGGGGAAGUGAAACAUCUCAGUACCCUUAGGAAAAGAAAUCAAUUGAGAUUCCCUCAGUAGCGGCGAGCGAACGGGGAUCAGCCCAUUAAGUUAUGUGUGUUUUAGUGGAACGCUCUGGGAAGUGCGAACGUAGAGGGUGAUAUUCCCGUACACGAAAGGGCACACAUAAUGAUGACGAGUAGGGCGAGGCACGUGAAACCUUGUCUGAAUAUGGGGGGGACCAUCCUCCAAGGCUAAAUACUCCUGACUGACCGAUAGUGAACCAGUACCGUGAGGGAAAGGCGAAAAGAACCCCUGUGAGGGGAGUGAAAUAGAUCCUGAAACCGCAUGCAUACAAGCAGUGGGAGCACCUUCGUGGUGUGACUGCGUACCUUUUGUAUAAUGGGUCAGCGACUUAUAUUCAGUAGCGAGGUUAACCGUAUAGGGGAGCCGUAGAGAAAUCGAGUCUUAAUAGGGCGUUUAGUUGCUGGGUAUAGACCCGAAACCAGGCGAUCUAUCCAUGAGCAGGUUGAAGGUUGGGUAACACUAACUGGAGGACCGAACCCACUGUCGUUGAAAAGCCAGGGGAUGACUUGUGGAUAGGGGUGAAAGGCUAAUCAAGCCUGGUGAUAGCUGGUUCUCCCCGAAAGCUAUUUAGGUAGCGCCUCGGACGAAUACCAUAGGGGGUAGAGCACUGUUUCGGCUAGGGGGGUCAUCCCGACUUACCAAACCGAUGCAAACUCCGAAUACCUAUGAGUACUAUCCGGGAGACAGACUGCGGGUGCUAACGUCCGUAGUCAAGAGGAAAACAAUCCAGACCGCCAGCUAAGGCCCCAAAAUCAUAGUUAAGUGGGAAACGAUGUGGGAAGGCAUAGACAGCUAGGAGGUUGGCUUAGAAGCAGCCACCCUUUAAAGAAAGCGUAAUAGCUCACUAGUCGAGUCGGCCUGCGCGGAAGAUGUAACGGGGCUAAAACUAUGUGCCGAAGCUGCGGAUGUAUACUUUGUAUACGUGGUAGGGAGCGUUCUGUAAGCCGAUGAAGGUGUGUUGAGAAGCAUGCUGGAGGUAUCAGAAGUGCGAAUGCUGACGUGAGUAACGACAAAACGGGUGAAAAACCCGUUCGCCGAAAGACCAAGGGUUCCAGUCCAACGUUAAUCGGGGCUGGGUGAGUCGACCCUAAGGCGAGGCCGAAAGGCGUAGUCGAUGGGAAAAUGGUUAAUAUUCCAUUACUUCUGUGUAAUGCGAUGAGAGGACGGAGAAGGCUAAAUCAGCCUGGCGUUGGUUGUCCAGGUGAAAGGAUGUAGGCAUGUAUCUUAGGCAAAUCCGGGGUACUCUAUGCUGAGAUCUGAUAGCAAGCUGUACUUGUACAGCGAAGUGGUUGAUGCCAUGCUUCCAGGAAAAGUCUCUAAGCUUCAGUUACACAGGAAUCGUACCCGAAACCGACACAGGUGGUCAGGUCGAGUAGACCAAGGCGCUUGAGAGAACUCUGCUGAAGGAACUAGGCAAAAUGGUACCGUAACUUCGGGAGAAGGUACGCUGUUGUUGGUGAUGGAACUCGCUUCCUGAGCUGACGACAGCCGCAGAAACCAGGCCGCUGCAACUGUUUAUUAAAAACAUAGCACUCUGCAAACACGAAAGUGGACGUAUAGGGUGUGAUGCCUGCCCGGUGCUGGAAGGUUAAUUGAUGGGGUUAGCGUAAGCGAAGCUCUUGAUCGAAGCCCCAGUAAACGGCGGCCGUAACUAUAACGGUCCUAAGGUAGCGAAAUUCCUUGUCGGGUAAGUUCCGACCUGCACGAAUGGCAUAAUGAUGGCGGCGCUGUCUCCAGCAGAGGCUCAGUGAAAUCGAAAUCGCUGUGAAGAUGCAGUGUACCCGCGGCUAGACGGAAAGACCCCGUGAACCUUUACUGCAGCUUGACACUGAACUUUGACCUUACUUGUGUAGGAUAGGUGGGAGGCUUUGAAGCUGGAACGCUAGUUCCAGUGGAGCCGUCCUUGAAAUACCACCCUGGUAAUGUUGAGGUUCUAACUCUGUCCCGUGAUCCGGGACGAGGACCGUGUCUGGUGGGUAGUUUGACUGGGGCGGUCUCCUCCUAAAGAGUAACGGAGGAGUACGAAGGUGCGCUCAGCGUGGUCGGAAAUCACGCGUAGAGUAUAAAGGCAAAAGCGCGCUUAACUGCGAGACCCACAAGUCGAGCAGGUACGAAAGUAGGUCUUAGUGAUCCGGUGGUUCUGUAUGGAAGGGCCAUCGCUCAACGGAUAAAAGGUACUCUGGGGAUAACAGGCUGAUACCGCCCAAGAGUUCAUAUCGACGGCGGUGUUUGGCACCUCGAUGUCGGCUCAUCUCAUCCUGGGGCUGAAGCAGGUCCCAAGGGUAUGGCUGUUCGCCAUUUAAAGAGGUACGCGAGCUGGGUUUAGAACGUCGUGAGACAGUUCGGUCCCUAUCUACCGUGGGCGCUGGAAAUUUGAGAGGAUCUGCUCCUAGUACGAGAGGACCAGAGUGGACGAACCUCUGGUGUACCGGUUGUGACGCCAGUCGCAUCGCCGGGUAGCUAUGUUCGGAAGGGAUAACCGCUGAAAGCAUCUAAGCGGGAAGCCUACCUCAAGAUAAGAUUUCCCUAGGACUUUAUGUCCUCUAAAGAGCCGUUCGAGACUAGGACGUUGAUAGGUUGGAUGUGGAAGCAUAGUGAUAUGUGAAGCUGACCAAUACUAAUUGCUCGUGAGGCUUGACUAUACAACACCCAAGCAGUUG